rnacentral:rRNA from 1 species
AUUGAACGCUGGCGGCAGGCCUAACACAUGCAAGUAGAGCGAGCGGCGGACGGGUGAGUAAUGUCUGGGAAAAUGCCUGAUGGCGGGGGAUAACUACUGGAAACGGUAGCUAAUACCGCAUACCAUCAGGUAUGCCCAGAUGGGCGUGGCUAGUAGGUGGGGUAACGGCACACAUAGGCGAAUAGCCCUAGCUGGGCUGAGAGGGUGACCAGCCACACUGGACCUGAGACACGGUCCAGACGCCUACGGGAGGCAGCAGUGGGGAAUAUUGCACAAUGGGCGCAAGCCUGAUGCAGCCAUGCCGCGUGUGUGAAGAAGUCCUUCGGGUUGUAAAGCACUUUCAGCGGGGAGGCGUUACCCGCAGAAGACGCACCGGCUAACUCCGUGCCAGCAGCCGCGGUAAUAC